GAUCAUGGCUCAGGAUGAACGCUAGCUACAGGCUUAACACAUGCAAGUCGAGGGGCAGCAUGAGCUUAGCUUGCUAAGUUUGAUGGCGACCGGCGCACGGGUGAGUAACGCGUAUCCAACCUGCCCUUGUCCACCGGAUAACCCGUCGAAAGGCGGACUAACACGGUAUGUAGUCCACAGCAGGCAUCUAACGUGGACGAAAUGUGAAGGAGAAGGAUGGGGAUGCGU
rnacentral:rRNA from 1 species